rnacentral:rRNA from 1 species
CCUACGGGAGGCAGCAGUGGGGGAUCUUGCACAAUGGGGGAAACCCUGAUGCAGCGACGCCGCGUGUGGGAAGACGGUCCUCUGGAUUGUAAACCACUGUCCCCAGGGACGAAGAUGACGGUACCUGGGGAGGAAGCUCCGGCUAACUACGUGCCAGCAGCCGCGGUCAUACGGAGGGAGCGAGCGUUGUCCGGAAUUACUGGGUGUAAAGGGAGCGUAGGCGGGACUGCAAGUUGGGUGUAAAAUCUACCGGCUCAACCGGUAGCCGCACUCAAAACUGCAGUUCUUGAGUGAAGUAGAGGCAGGCGGAAUUCCUAGUGUAGCGGUGAAAUGCGUAGAUAUUAGGAGGAACACCAGUGGCGAAGGCGGCCUGCUGGGCUUUUACUGACGCUGAGGCUCGAAAGUGUGGGGAGCAAACAGGAUUAGAUACCCUUGUAGUC